UACGUAGGGAGCAAGCGUUGUCCGGAAUCAUUGGGCGUAAAGCGCGCGUAGGUGGCUUCGUAAGUCCGUUGUGAAAGUCAAAGGCUCAACCUUUGAAAGCCGAUGGAUACUGCGGAGCUAGAGUACGGAAGAGGCGAGUGGAAUUCCUGGUGUAGCGGUGGAAUGCGCAGAUAUCGGGAGGAACACCGGUGGCGAAGGCGGUGCUCUGGGCCUUACCUGACGCUGAGGAGCGAAAGCGUGGGGAGCGAACAGG
rnacentral:rRNA from 1 species